GGGCCUGUAGUUUAGCUUGGAUAGAACGCGAGCUUGCGGAGCUUGUGACGGGAGUUCAAAUCUUCCCAGGCCCG
rnacentral:tRNA from 1 species